rnacentral:rRNA from 1 species
AUCAGUCAGCGGAGGAAAAGAAACUAACUAGGAUUCCCCCAGUAGCGGCGAGCGAAGAGGGAACAGCCCAGCACCAAGGGUCGGUCGGUUCCCUAACAGGACCCGUCUCGACCGAUGCGGUGUUCGGGAGCCUCGUUUGACCGCCGGCCGUCCAGUCUAAAGUCCUCAUGAAUGUGGCCCGAUUAUUGCCCAAAGAGGGUGUCAGGCCCGUAGGAUGGACGGUCGCGCGGCUUUCCGAGGUUUCCCCAGAGUCGGGUUGCUUGAGCGUGCAGCCCUAAGCAGGUGGUAAACUCCAUCUAAGGCUAAAUACGAAUGCGAGACCGAUAGAGAACAAGUACCGCGAGGGAAAGUUGAAAAGAACUCUGAAGAGAGAGUUAAACAGUGCGUGAAAUCCUCCAGGGGUUAAAACGGAAGGACUUUCGAAGUUCGAGCCGUCUCGGGAUCAGCUUCGACGCGGUGCCCUGGCUCGGGCGGAGAAGGCGGCCUCGCGUCGUCCUCCGCUCGGGUCCGAGCGUGCCGCGCCGGAGUGUACUCUCGGGCGGAUUCGCGAUCCGCACGCGGCUGGAACGGCGUUCAAGGGCCGGGGUCGACGAUCGUCUCGGCGGUCGUUGCCUCGGUUCCCGACGACGGAUCCGGCCCGAACACUGUUGCCGGGGGCCCCUUGCGGGUCCCUCGGGCGAGCGGAGAGUAGGCGAGUUCCUUCCGACCCGUCUUGAAACACGGACCAAGGAGUCUAACAUGUGCGCGAGUCGUAGGUUGUCAAAGACCGAAGGCGGAAUGAAAGUGAAGGCAUCGCUCGUCGGUGCUGAGGGGAGAUCCCGCCUCCGUCUCGAUGGAGCGGGCGCAUCCCCGGGGCGUUCGCAAUCCCGUUGCGGAUGCGACGCACCAAGAGCGUGCAUGCUAGGACCCGAAAGAUGGUGACCUAUGCCUGGCCAGGUCGAAGUCAGGGGAAACCCUGAUGGAGGACCGAAGCGAUUCUGACGUGCAAAUCGAUCGUCGGAGCUUGGUAUAGGGGCGAAAGACUAAUCGAACCAUCUAGUAGCUGG